rnacentral:rRNA from 1 species
AAGUGGGGCGUGCCUAUACAUGCAAGUCGAGCGGACAGAUGGGAGCUUGCUCCCUGAUGUUAGCGGCGGACGGGUGAGUAACACGUGGGUAACCUGCCUGUAAGACUGGGAUAACUCCGGGAAACCGGGGCUAAUACCGGAUGGUUGUCUGAACCGCAUGGUUCAGACAUAAAAGGUGGCUUCGGCUACCACUUACAGAUGGACCCGCGGCGCAUUAGCUAGUUGGUGAGGUAACGGCUCACCAAGGCGACGAUGCGUAGCCGACCUGAGAGGGUGAUCGGCCACACUGGGACUGAGACACGGCCCAGACUCCUACGGGAGGCAGCAGUAGGGAAUCUUCCGCAAUGGACGAAAGUCUGACGGAGCAACGCCGCGUGAGUGAUGAAGGUUUUCGGAUCGUAAAGCUCUGUUGUUAGGGAAGAACAAGUGCCGUUCAAAUAGGGCGGCACCUUGACGGUACCUAACCAGAAAGCCACGGCUAACUACGUGCCAGCAGCCGCGGUAAUACGUAGGUGGCAAGCGUUGUCCGGAAUUAUUGGGCGUAAAGGGCUCGCAGGCGGUUUCUUAAGUCUGAUGUGAAAGCCCCCGGCUCAACCGGGGAGGGUCAUUGGAAACUGGGGAACUUGAGUGCAGAAGAGGAGAGUGGAAUUCCACGUGUAGCGGUGAAAUGCGUAGAGAUGUGGAGGAACACCAGUGGCGAAGGCGACUCUCUGGUCUGUAACUGACGCUGAGGAGCGAAAGCGUGGGGAGCGAACAGGAUUAGAUACCCUGGUAGUCCACGCCGUAAACGAUGAGUGCUA